GACGAACGCUGGCGGCACGCUUAACACAUGCAAGUCGAACGGUGAAGAGAAGCUUGCUUCUCGGAUCAGUGGCGGACGGGUGAGUAACACGUGAGCAACCUGCCUUUAAGAGGGGGGUAACGUUUGGAAACGAACGCUAAUACCGCAUAACAUAGAAGAUUCGCAUGUUUCUUCUAUCAAAGAUUUAUCGCUUAAAGAUGGGCUCGCGUCUGAUUAGCUGGUUGGUGAGGUAACGGCUCACCAAGGCGACGAUCAGUAGCCGUACUGAGAGGUAGAACGGCCACAUUGGGACUGAGACACGGCCCAGACUCCUACGGGAGGCAGCAGUGGGGAAUAUUGCACAAUGGAGGGAACUCUGAUGCAGCGAUGCCGCGUGAGGGAAGAAGGUUUUCGGAUUGUAAACCUCUGUCUUCAGGGACGAUAA
rnacentral:rRNA from 1 species